rnacentral:lncRNA from 1 species
GAUGUGUUGUCGGAUUUGCACAAGAAAUAUGGGUCUGUUGUCAAGUUGUGGUUGGGUCCGACUGAGCUAUGAGCGUCAAUAAAGGAUUGCAACACAGUAAUGUCAGAAGAAAAAAAGGCCUGUGUUUCUAUUUAGUGAAGAGAGAUAUAUAAUUAUGAUGAUGAAGAAAACGACCAAAAUCACCAUGAUCAAGGAUCUCAGGAGAUGGAAGCAUUGAGAUAUAGCAUAGCCCAUAUUCAGGGAGCAUUGGUGUAGUUCACCCCCUCGAUGUCGGAUAAGUGGAUUUGCGAAAAUUGUGGC